CGUGGCACUGUCAAGUCAUCAGACGCGGUGAUUGCGAGGCCUGUGGGAAAGUACAAAAGCCUGGGCUAGAUUACCCCUCUCAUCGAGCCCGCCUGUGUGGCACCUGUUUCUUAUCACCCCACUAAGUUCCUGCCUCACAGGGUAGUCUGCCUAGCUAUUAAUCCUAUAUAUAGCCAGUGCCUCCACCCCCGAGAGAGAGAGAGACUGAAGCACAAAAGGAGCCGCGGGGAGCGGACCGGUAGAGGCUUCGGGGCAGACUGAAGCACGGAAGGAGCCGCGGAGAGCGGACCGGUAGAGGCUUCGGGGCAGACUGUAUAAGGAGAGAAUAAAGAAAAGCCUGACCACCGCCAGACCUUGUCGUGUGUCUUUCCUGCCGGCCGGGAGCGGACAUCGACAUUUGGUGGCCCGUACGGGGAUUGAUCAACCCCGAGACGCGGCGGUGGACUGCAUUCUCCUACACAGUGCUGCAGCUGCAGGACAGGAAUCGGGACGAGAGCCAAUGUGGGUCCCAGAGAGGUUGACGCGACAAGUCCCUCGACUGAAGAUCAGGCCUGUUCCACCAGAGGCCAACCGCAGACCCAACAACAAGAUGAGCCCUAAAAGAACUGCAGGACAAUCCCUUUUUGGGGGCCUGGAAUGGCUUGCUCCCCUAUGUGCUACCCUUGUAUACGCAUGGCUCGCUCGCAUGGCCUACGACCGCAUUUAAAAGUGACAGGCUUCCCACAUUCUCCUCCCUAGACAACAACAUGUAGCAGGGUGGGUGAGUCAAUGACGGGUAAGAGCGUGCCUCCCCAGCACGACUCAACCUAAGCCAGGCCCUACCCCGUUCCGCUCGAAAGCCGCUGGAUUGUUAGAUAAAUUUCUCUCCGAGGGGAUUCGUGGAGAGAAAUGAGUGCAUGCCUAUGUGCAACCAGGUUCCGUCCGGUUCAUUCCUGGCCCUAGAAAAAAGGACGAGGGCCUCAGGGCCUUGGUGGACCCUGGGACGGCCGACCAGGGUCUACGCUAAGGGCCUACGGUGGGCCUCAGUUCGGGGCAUAGGCCUCUGCACUCUAUCCAGGACGGGCUGCGAUGCGCGUAGCCAUCAUUUAAAAUAAAAUAGGGGGAGAUGUUGGGAGCCGUGGCACUGUCAAGUCAUCAGACGCGGUGAUUGCGAGGCCUGUGGGAAAGUACAAAAGCCUGGGCUAGAUUACCCCUCUCAUCGAGCCCGCCUGUGUGGCACCUGUUUCUUAUCACCCCACUAAGUUCCUGCCUCACAGGGUAGUCUGCCUAGCUAUUAAUCCUAUAUAUAGCCAGUGCCUCCACCCCCGAGAGAGAGAGAGACUGAAGCACAAAAGGAGCCGCGGGGAGCGGACCGGUAGAGGCUUCGGGGCAGACUGAAGCACGGAAGGAGCCGCGGAGAGCGGACCGGUAGAGGCUUCGGGGCAGACUGUAUAAGGAGAGAAUAAAGAAAAGCCUGACCACCGCCA